ACCAUUUUUGCAUUCGUAUAUCAUGAGGCUAGCACGAUGAUACUUUUAUGCCCAAGGAAAUCGAGACAAUUUCCAAUCCGAAAAUUGCCUAGACCGGCACCGGGAAUCGAACCCAACCACCCUCAGCAUGGUCUUGCUUUGUAGCCGCGCGUCUUACCGCACGGCUAAGGAAUAUUUUGGGGGGUCCAUAAUAGGGAAGAAGAACGUCCCGAAACGGAACAUAAAAAUCAAAUGAAGUGUCGACUAUAGGGAAGCAAAUUCCUAUUAUGGACCCCCAGGGGGUCUACUAUAGGGCGAAUUCAGUCAGACUUUAAAAUGUUAAUUUCAACGAAUAACGUCGUGUAUUUGAGUGUUUUAUGUAUGUAUCGUGAAGAGGAGAUGCAGAACUUGGUGUUAGAUGUCAAGCAGAAUUAAUAUGUUGAAAAUUUCUACUCCUUGUGACGAAAAGAGCAAAAUUUCGCUACUAGGGGGUCCACUAUUGGGUAUUUUACCCUAUUUGUCCAACUCGGCAAGCCUCGUUCGAUAAACGCAAGACUCGUGCUGAAAAAAUCAUCUUUUUGCAACUUGUUGCACAAACUACUGUUUCGACAGCACACAGCAGAAUAAAAUAAAGCGAGUCUUGAGACUUUUCUGCACAUUGUAACCUUUGGGUUCCAGGUUUACCUUGCUGGCUCCUCCAUCAAUCCAAAUAAAAUUUCCUUUCCCAAAAAAAAAAAAAAAAUAAAACAAAACAAAAGAAAAACAAAUACAAAACGAAACUAACGUAAUGAUGGGCCAGUGGCGGCACACAGUGGCUUGAUGUGUGAAAAGAGCUCUGACCCACCUUCAACGGACACACUGUAUAGUCGAACAUUGUCAAAAUGAUAUUACUGACACCCGCAGGGCUAAACAUAAAAUAUCCCUGCUGGAGUUCUAAGUUCUAGCAGUAGAGGGAUCCUGCACCAGUAAAAAGGGGAAACAACCUAGAGCGAAAACUUCAAAUUAAUCGAAGUGAUUCUUUGAUAGUUUCAGCUCCAUCGAAGGAUCAAAAUUCUUUAAAAAGCAGAUCCUUCAAGGAUCUGAUCUCUUUUUAUCCUGAAAAUUCAAAAGUAAAGGUCUAUUGUUAGAGUCCAAUUCAAUUGUUAGUCGACAAAAAAGUGCGCAGUGAAUAAUUAAAAGUUAUAAGUACGGUUAAUCGCUUAAAUAGUGAGAACAUUCAAUUCACAAAAGUACGCAAACGAAAAAAAAACAAGGAAAAAAGGUCCACGAAGGGCCUUUUUUCUUUCUUUUGGACAGCUGAACCAGUGAAAGCGGACGGGAACCCUCUGUGGUCGGUCGUUGUACCUGUCGGUAACCAGACGGGAACCCUCUGUGGUCGGUCGUUGUACCUGUCGGGAGCGUGCCUGUCGAGGUGUGGAGUGGAGAAUCAGACCAAGAACCCAGUCCCUUCUUCCGGUUCGUCUACGGAUAGCCAAAACCGAUACCGCCAAGCUCGACAGACC